GCUGGGUACGGCUAUGGCACAUGCCUGUAAUCCCAACAACUCGGGGAGGCUGAGGCAGGAGGAUCACAGUUCUGAAGCCAGCCUCAGCAACUUAGUGAGACCCUGUCUCAA
rnacentral:sRNA from 1 species